rfam:Actinomyces graevenitzii C83 genomic scaffold supercont1.1, whole genome shotgun sequence.
AACGUGCUCCGGGGUCGGUGAAAUUCCGAGCCGGCGGUUAUAGUCCGCGACCCACCGGUAUCUACUGGUGGCUGAGCUGGUGAAAUUCCAGCACCGACGGUUAAAGUCCGGAUGGGAGGAGGCACGCG